UGAUUUCGGGAGAGACUAUUAAAUAAAUAGCGCCGAAGGGGCAAGCAAGAACUCUCAGGCAAAAGGACCGAUUU
rnacentral:ncRNA from 1 species